CACUCUGCCUCUCCUCACCUGGUUUCCCGCCCUGCCCUACCCUCUCAAUUGAAGCCACCAAUGGAAGUGCAUUUUGCAUCAACUUUGAUUGAUGAGAGUUUGGUUUUCAACUUGAUUUGAGUCGCUAUGCUAGUCUAUCUCUUUUCUUUACAUGGUUUUGCACUCCUAUUUUCUCUCUUCUGCACAGUGUUGUAGCUCAAUUGGAAUUCAAUUUACCAUCGUUGGUUUUUUAUUAUCUUCCAGGAUUUCGGCUCUUUUGACGACCUUUUGCUGGCGCUACCACCUGAUGUUCCAUGGCUUUGGUUGCGUGAUGUUGCUCCAGUUCGUGAUUUGCGAUUAUUCUCUAUGAUUCGUAGUUUUGUUUCUUUUCAGAGACCCUGCUGGUUUCUUUUUUUUUUUUUUUUUUGGGAAGCACUUUUUGAUUAGGUUUAAGAGCAUGUCUGAGCUUCCUCCUAUUUUUGAUUAGUGGUUUUAUGAUGUGAAUGUUUAGGAAUGUUGUGUGUGUUUGAUUGCCUUCGACUAGGCACGAUCGAAUAGCCUUUGUCAGGGUUAUAUGACCCUUCAGCUGGUUCUUAAGCAGCUGUGGUUUUCCUUCACUGCAUUCAUUUUCGUAUAGCUAAAUGUUUUUUUCAAAUGGUGUCGAUAUCGACUUUGUCUGGGUCCAUCUUUUUUUGGCCUUCUGCUGUUCUGUUUCUUUAGAAUCUGUCUCUACAGCUUGUGAAAAAAAGAAUGUACUGACACCCUUUCAUCUAAAGCUAGAUUGCUGAAACUUCGUCCGCUGUUACCUGCAACAUUUUUUCUUCCAGGUUUGUGCCUGUUCUUUCUCAUUUCGAUUUGGUUCUUAUAUUUUUUUAAGCUUACGUCAAGAAAGCUUCCUAACAAGUAGUCAGCCCAUAACUUUAUUUUGACCUUAACUUGGUUGGUGCGCCUGCCUUUUUAUGCACUGUUCCUUCUGUGUCGUUUAAUCCAGGUUAGUUUCUUUUCCUUUUUCAUUGAUCUGCUCUUUGCUUAAGGGAAGGAGGGUGUCAUUUAAUGUUUGUUAACAUUAGUUACUGAGUAGAUGAAAACCAAACACACAAGAUGAGAUAAACAGUUAUGUUCUAAUGUUUCCAAUCUAUCAAAAUUGAGUUUCUUCUUAAAAUAAAGUGUAUUCAAGUCUUCAUUGCCACAUCACCCUCCAAUUGUCCAUGUCGUUUUGCAGCUCACAGUAAAUUAGGUGCCUGGAAUACUUCAAUUCACUCCACUGCUGCUGCCAUCAAUUUGGCUCUAUACUAUGAAGUAUGAGCAUGGCUGGCUAGGAGGAUUUGUGGGUAUAUUAACAAAUUAGCAAGUUGCUUCUUUGAUCUAGAUGUUUAGUAAAGGUGAUGCCAGGGGAAAUUAUAAGGGUGGUCUUGGCAUCCGGACUGCUAGAGAAGCCAUCUUUAGAUGGCAGCAAAAGGAUUUCUUCUUUGGCAUGCUAGAAUUUCUGCAGACAUUUGCAACUACCUUUUCCUCUCCCGUGUUUACAAUUAUCCUGUAUGUUCAAAGAAUGAUGAGUCACACAGUAUAGGCUAACAAGUUUUAACAUUACAGUUAAUUGCUCUAAUUCUUCAUCUGCACAUUACCUUCCUUUCUCAAAGAGUUGGCUUGGAAAUACUUACUAUCUUAUAUAUUCCAUCUUUUUGUUGUUUUCGAUUGUGGUUUGUUUUUGUUGUUGUUGUUGAGGAUGGUUGCAUUCCGAUAGCGGCCUCUUAUCUACUUUUGUUCUAUGUUUGCUCAUGUGCUGUUCAUUAUCAGGUUGUCAUUCUUCAUUGCUUGCUGCAUUUUUUAGAUGCAGUAAUUUCUUUUUCAUUUUUUGGCCUUCUGCUGUUCUGUUUCUUUAGAAUCUGUGUCUACGGAUUAGUUUCCCACUCCUUUUCUAUGCCAUCUGAAGCAGAUAUCAACAGCAACUGACAACCCUCAUAAUUCAACAUGUCUGGUGGGUCAGCAGGAACAAACUUAUUGCCCAAAUUGGCCUUGUAGAGAGCAAGCCUGCAUAAACAAUGCCCUUCUGUCGAACUUGCUUCGCAAGGUCUCUGACAAUCAUGAGAUGAGGAAUUUUGAGGCCUAUAUUUGUGCUUUCACACAUUUCCUGUGUCGUGUAUUGGGAGGAAGAAUAAAGAGACUAAAAUAACAUAUUAAAUAGGUCUUGCUGCUCUGUAUGGAUAAUGUGGUGAGCAAUCGCGAUGGAAUUGUCUGAGUUCAGUGUUUAUGAGUUUAUUGGCCCACCACAUGCCUUAUUUAUUCACUGAAAAAUGCUUAUAUCAAAAUAUGGAACCUCCUUAUCUGAUACAAAUCCUCUUGAGUGCCCCUAUUGGUCUGAGAUGCCUGUUUCAGUGGAUUCUGAGAUUCUCUGGCUAUUGCUUUUUUGAUUGUAUAUUGAGUGACAUUCUGUAUAUCUUGUUUUGAUGCAUGCACACUUGUGAAAUCUACUCUGUUCAGAGAUUUUACUUCUAGUGUUGG